ensembl:misc_RNA Metazoa_SRP Metazoan signal recognition particle RNA
GCUGGGCGUGGUGGCUCACGCCUGUAAUCCCAGCACUUUGGGAGGCCAAGGUGGGAAGAUGGCUUGAGCCCAGGAGUUCAAGACCAGCAUGGGCAACAUAGUGAGACCCUGUCUCAAAAUAACUACUUAGUUAAUUAAUUCUUUUUUUAAAAAAGAAGUUUCUUUCUUUUCUGUUUUUAAGAGCUAGGGUCUCACUAUGUUGCCCAGGCUGGCCUUGAACUCCUGGGCUCAAGCGAUCCUCCCACCUU